rnacentral:lncRNA from 1 species
GGCUGUUGAGUUUGAACUAGCUCUGCCCAGGUCGCCCUCUCCGCUGUCUCUUCCUCCUCACCAGCCUAGGCCCCAGAAACUUGUACCCACCACCGCCAGACCGCCCCAACUCACACUCACAAUUUGUGCUCGCAAUCUCCUAUGUCCCCAGCCGGACACCCUCUCCGAACUCCCUCAAGGGUCAAGCAUACCUCAAGGGCAUCCAGCUGCCACCUCUCUGGAUGAACCGCCCAUCGAAAGUCCUCUAUGACCUCCCUCUCCACCACCCCCGAUCUUGAGGGCCGAAAUGACCCCGUACGACUCUCGCUGUCCCCCAAAGCUGCAAAUAUCUGCACCUGCACAGCUGCCGCCUCAUUCCCUGCCCUCUUCGGGGACCCAGUUCCCAAAUCCACCAGCCCACUCCCUUCGACAUCGCCCCAGCAGGAGACGAGAAAGGGACACCAAGAGGCACGGUGCUUCUUCCCCACCUAAGCCUGCGGCCUGCGGACACCCCAAUGCACCCUGCGCCCGGGACACCGCCGACCCCGCCCCGCUUUGCUCUUUGACAGGUCUCUCUCCCGGCGAGGGCCGUGGUCUUCAGGAAAGGCCCGAGCCCCUUUCCCAGCUGCGCCCUAGGCGCGCGCCCCGGCUGCCCGCACCCGCCAGUGCCGUCGCGCUCACCUGGGCCGGGAGGCUGACAGCCUUGGGCUGUGCCCUGAGGGCCGCGAGAGGACGUCGCGCUGGCAGACCCGGGCUUGGGCCCCGCGGCGCUGCGCCUCCAACCCGGAAGAACAGCCCCAACUCCGCGGCGGCGGGCGGCCACGUGACUGCAGCUCCGCUCCCACCUCGGCCCGCGCCCCUUCCCCGCCCCAGCUUUCUUCCCGCCAGGCCCCCUCCACCCGAUCGCCGCGCGCUCUCCGAACCAAAAGGCGACCUCACGAAAUGCCCCUUUGAGCUCAAAGGCUAGUUACCCCCAGGGGCCCUUCCACUCUCGGGGACAGGCGAAACCUCUUUGUCUCUGCCUCGGCCUGCGGCCCCCAGCCCAGCCUCCGCGCUUUCCCUCCGCCAGUCCUUGUCAAUCAAACCUGGUGCCAAACGCGGCAGCUGAAGUUUUCAGGGACACAUUUGCUUCUCCCCUUGAAGAACCAGUUACAAAGCGUGAUGUCCUCUCUGGGGUCCCAUCAGAACAAAGAAACAGGUCUAAAGACCCUCAUUCCAGAGAGCAUCCUGCCCCAUAUCCAGAAUGAAAUCCAUGCUCAGAGAUGCCAAGAAGAAUCUAGACAGACAGGCCUUUCUAGGCUGUACAAGAAGCAUGAUGCCAGCAUCUGCUUCUGGUGACAACCUCAAGAAGUUUACAAUUGGCCGCGUGCGGUGGCUCAUGCCUGUAAUGCCAGCACUUCGGGAGGCGGAGACAGAUGGAUCAUUUGAGGUCAGGAGUUCGAGACCAGGCUGGCCAACAUGGUGAAACCCCAUCUCUACUAAAAAUACAAAAAUUAGCUGGGCAUGGUGGCAUGUGUCUGGAAUCCCUGCUACUCAGGAGGCUGAGGCAAGAGGAUCACUUGGAACUUGGGAGGCAGAGGUUGCUGUGAGCUGAGAUCACACCACUGUACUCCAGCCUGGGCAACAGAGUGAUACUCUAUCUCAAAAAAAAAAGAAAGAAAGAAAGAAAAGAAAAAGAAGCUUACAAUCAUGGUGGAAGGCGAAGAGGAGGAGCAGGCAUAUCACAUGGCCAAAAAGGGAGCAAGAGAAAGGUGAGAAAGACACUAGACUCUUUUUAAAACCAGCUCUCACAUGAGCUAAUGGAAUAAGAACUCACUCAUUACCACAAGGACAGAACCCAGCCAUUCAUGAGGGACCUGCCACCAUGACCCAAAAACCUCCUACUUGACCCAACCUCCAACACUGGGGAUAACAUUUCAACAUGAGAUUUGAAGAGGACAAAUACUCAAACUAUAUCACUUGUUGUCCAUUUUUAAUCUUUCUCUAACAUACCCUAACUUCUUCUUGAAAAUGCUUAAUUUUCUCUGUUUUGAGAUGUAAAUUUGCUAUCCUGUUUUUCUUAAAACUUGGUAAGAUCUUCAGCCAUGAAGGACAGACAAACUGUAACCUUUCCAUUUACAAAGCUGCAUUUGAAUUCAACUGUCCUUUUAAACUAAGGAGUUUUACUGGUCUCGUGGCUAAAAUUUUAAAGAUGUAGGCCAGGUGCAGUGGCUCAUGCCUGUAAUCCUAUCACUUUUGGAGACCAAGGCGGGGAUGGAUCACCUGAGGUCAGGAGUUCAAGACCAGCCUGGCCAACAUGAUGAAACUCCAUCUCUACUAAAAAUACAAAAAUUAGUCAGGCAUGGUGGCACACACCUGUAAUCCCAGCUACUCGGGAGGCUGAGGCAAGAGAAUGGCUUGAACCCGGGCGACGGAAGUUGCAGUGAGGCGAGAUUGCACCAUUGCACUCCAGCCUGGGCAAUAAGAGUGAAACUCUGUCUCAAAAAAAGAAAAAAUGAUAUAAAGUAUUUAUUUGUGUUUAUAUUUUAUGGAUACGUGUCUAUGUUUAUAGAUUGCCUGUAUGGUACCAACUUGACAUAAAUAAAUUAGUACUCAUAAAUUAAGUAAAUAAGCCCAAACGCUUUUCAAGUUCACAGGGCAUUAGUAAUCUGUGGUAAAUGAAGAUAGUUUAAAAUUUGGGGUAAAAUAAAAUAGAAACAUUUUCUGAAUUUAAUUUAGAUAUUUUUCUGGGUCUAUUUGUUAGACAGGUUUACACUAUCUCUGCUAUUUUUUUAAGGACCUAAAACUGAAUGGACAUAGAAAAUUGAGGAAAGAAAUAAAACCGUAACAAUUAUAAGAGGUUAUAAAAGGUUCAUGGAACCUUUUUAUGUUUUUUCUUGUGCAGUCAAAACCAAUUGCAGGCUGGAUGCAGUAGCUCACACUUGUAAUCCCAGCACUUUGGGAGGCUGAGAUGGGCAGAUCACUUGAGCUCAGGAGUUUGAGACCAUCCUGGGCAACAUAGUGAAACUCUCUCACUACCAAAGUACAAAAGGAAUUAGCUGGGCAUGAUGGUACACACUUGUAGUCCCAGCUACUUGGGGGACUGAGAUGGGAAAAUUGCUUGAGCCCGGGAGUCAAAGGUUGCAGUAAGCCAAGAUUGCACCACUACACUCCAGCCUGGGUGACAAAGUGAGACCCUGUCUCAAAAAAAAACAAAAAAAGGAAAAGAAAACAAUUGCAAUUGGAUUGAUCUGUUUAUAAGGCUUUAUUAAAAUUAGCUUUAGCAUUUAUAAUACACUGGCACAAAGUUAGAAUUUGGAUUUCUCUUUUGAACAAGAUUUUUGUAUACAUUAAUAAGAAAUAGUAAAAGAUUUUUGUUUACCUUUUGAGUAAACUGCAAAAAAUAUUAGUAAUAAGAGGAGAGAAUUUCCCUAAUGCUGUUUUUAUUAUGUCUUUUGAUUGUUUGGAAAACUGAAUCUCCCCUCUGUCAAAGAGUAAAAUUUUUGCUUUUUGAAAUUUUUGAAUUAUCAGUUUGGCUAAAUGAAUAACUAUUAUCUUACAGUGACCUGUAAUCUUAUUUUGAUCAAGUGUUUUAAACCUUUGAUAUUUGACAAACUUCCCAAAAUCAAAUGUAAAAUUCUAACUUAAAUGUUUUCGACCUCAAGCUAACUUUUGGGCAUUAAAGCCCUUGGAAGUCCAAAUAGGGCCCCUGGAAGUCCAAAAGAAACAUAUUAGGCUAAUUUGGUAUAUUAAAAUCAUACAGGAAGCUGAUCAAAUAAAAAAUGUUGUUUAAUUUUCUUUGAGUUGUAUUUGUAUAAAUCUGUUAUUAAUAUGCAUCCCAAAAUUGUAUCAUAUUGCUAAAAUGUUGAUAGAUCUUGUUAUAUGUUAUUGGUAAUAAUUGUUAUCCUGUUAAAUUAUUGUAUACCACAGAAAUAAUGAAAUUUCUUUGUCAAUUGCAUCAGUAAUCAUGGCUCUUCUAAGUCUUUUGUCAUUCACAGAUGAUUAUUGUUUUACUUGGAUUCUUUUCAAAAGUGGUUUGUAAUUGGCUACAGCCUAAAAUCUGCUUGUUCAAAAAAAAAAAAAAAAAAUCCAUGGAAAGGGCCCUGACAGCACACACACUUAAACACAGUUUUCUGAUAACUUUGGAAUUCACACCGUUGGACUAGUUAAAAACUUCUAAAAUAAUUUUUUAAAAUCUAAUAAAUUAAUGAAGAUUGCUAAUCCAACAUCAAGCAGAAUAAGUUAAUUACAUGGGGCUGAACUGAUAAAAUGCCAAAAUAAUAUUUUCAUAACCUUUUUUUGGUUUGAGACAUUGCUGAUACUUUUUAUGUUUUGUUUUCCAGAGUCAAGAAAAUUGUUUUUUUCUUUUGAGCUGUACAUAGCUUACAGUAAUUAGAUAAAUUACACUUUUGUGAGAACAAUUGAAACACUAACCUUUCUCUCUACCUGAUGUCUCCAGAAUUUGGAAAGUAUUUGUGAGUAUUCUUCACUUUUGGCAAUAUAGUUAUUUGUACAAAUUCGAUAGGAAUCUGUUUUCUUUUGUAACAGAACACAGUUGGAUACACUGAUUAUUUUGCCAAGGCUUUCAUUGGAAUGGCAUAAUUUUUUAAUGACCAGACUGCUUUGAGGAUUUGAAGUUGACUUUAUAGAGCCUAUAAAAAGCCUGUUGGAAAAAUUAGCCUGAUACCUUGUCUACACAGUUUCCUUACAAGGUUCCUGACCUUGCGGUAGUAAAGAAUGUCACUCUCUGGCAGGCCCAGGAGCCUCAGGAUAUUUUGGGAACCUUGACAAGAGAGGAGUGUAUCCAAUUUAUACAGGAAUUACAAGUGCAGUCUGAUUGUGAAUCCUUGUCUUGGCUUCUUAGCCUUGAGAGUUUUUAAAAGUUGAAUGUGAAAUUCCUUAUGAAAAAGUUCCAACAAAGCCAAACUUUAAAAGAGCCUAUAUGUGGUCAAUCACUAUUUUUGCUGUACUUUAUGCAAAUAAUCAGGCCAAAUAUAAUAAAACUAAAACUUAUUUUGCAAAUAAAUUGGUCCUGUUAUGAUUUGCCUUUAAUAGAAAAGGGGGACUGGAGAGAGAAGAAUUAUGUUUCAGAAGAAAAUGAUAGCAUACCUGUUGUUAGAUUCUAGCUUUGUCCAUUGUUUUUAAGUUGUAAUUAUUUGCCUACAUUUGAACUAAAUCUUGAAUUCUUUCCUGGCUACAAGUCUCCAAGCUAACAUUUAAAUUUUUUUCUCCUAUGUUUCUGACUUGGAAUAAGUAGAAGUUAAAACUAUGCUUUUCUUGAAGCCCUGCAGACUGGAGCAAGACAACUUGAAUAAACUAUGGGAAAAAUCACUACAGCAACUUAUAUAUAAACAGCUUUUAUGCUUUGUUGAUGUAUGGAAUACUCAGAAAGUUCACUGCAACACCUGAUUUAAACUACAACCAGGAGACUCUGUCAGAUUAACACUACAAUCUGAAGAACUACAGAGACUCUCAAAAAACUAGUGUAUAGUCUACAGUAGAUAUUAACCUUUGUUUUUCUUCUGUUUUCAUAGAAACACCUUUUAUUAAAAAUCUGUUUGCCGCUUCAUAUAUAGAGUCCUAGUCCAUCUGUAAUGCCACCCCCUGGAAUGAGACAUAGCUGUUUAACUGAACUGAUCUAUUCUCGGGACUAAGAGACUGAUAAAAAAAGAUAUAAAAUGAUAUAUUCAAAUUUGCUCCUUUCUGCUUAUCCCUUUUGUUUUUCCACUCCUUUGUCUAUCUGUUUCUGUAACCAAAAAGGCGUCCUGAUCCAGACCCCAAGAGAGGGUUCUUGGAUCUUGCGCAAGAAAAAAUUCGAGACGAGUCCACAGUGCAAAGUGAAAGUAAGUUUAUUAAGAAAGUGAAGGAGUGAAAUAGUCCAUAGACAGAGUAGGGCAUUCCCAAAAGUAAGAGGAGGAAUGCACCCACCCUAAG